ACGGCAAGGAGAUGCUACAGUAAUGGAUUCUCAAUCUCUAUUUGUUUUCUUGUUUACAUUCGCAGAGAUAAAAGAGGGAAAACAACAAAAAGGUCUUAUUUGGCUUUUCGACUUUGGGGUUCUUUAAUUUCUAUGUGGAUCAGAUAUGAAGAUUAAAGCUUAUAGAGCUCUCAAUUAGUGUCUAUGAAGCAAAUUUAGCUUUGAUUUUGAUCCUGGGUAUUACCCAGAAAUUCGUGUAUGAAACUGUACAUGUGAGAGAUGGACCAAACCGUCGAUCCUUCGCCGAAUGCACAGAGAGGUUUUUGAGUUCGAGCUCCAUUGAUUUUGGAUGUAGAAGGGGAAAAAUGAGAGAGGUAAAGAUGAAGAUAGAAAGAUAAAGCAAAGGCCAAAGAAUUUGACAAAGAUGAAAGAAAACACAAGGAUGAGGAAACAUUAAACUGAGAAAAUUAAAUUGAAGGAACAAAUGCGGUUGGACUAUUGAAGUGGCUCCUUUGGUUGGCAUGAAUAGUGACUUGAUUGAUCACAAUGAAAUUGGAUCAAAAUGAAUGUAGUCAAAUUAAUAUGAAUGUAAGAUUAAUAUUUGCAAGGACAAUGUUGAUUGAAUAAAAUGAUAUGCUGGUUGAUUGAAUGAAA